CUGAAGCACCAGCUUGCUGGUGUGGAUGAGUGGCGAACGGGUGAGUAAUACGUGAGUAACCUGCCCUUGACUCUGGGAUAAGCCCGGGAAACUGGGUCUAAUACUGGAUGCUACAUGUCACCGCAUGGUGGUGUGUGGAAAGGGUUUACUGGUCUUGGAUGGGCUCACGGCCUAUCAGCUUGUUGGUGAGGUAAUGGCUCACCAAGGCGACGACGGGUAGCCGGCCUGAGAGGGUGACCGGCCACACUGGGACUGAGACACGGCCCAGACUCCUACGGGAGGCAGCAGU
rnacentral:rRNA from 1 species